rnacentral:rRNA from 1 species
GACAGAGGGUGCAAACGUUGUUCGGAAUACUGGGCGUAAGCCCGUGCUAGGCUGCUUCGCAAGUCGGGUGUGAAAGCCCUGGGCUCAACCUAGGAAGUGCACUCGAAACUGCGAAGCUUGAGUUCUGGAGAGGAAGGCGGAAUUCUCGGUGUAGAGGUGAAAUUCGUAGAUAUCGAGAGGAACACCGGUGGCGAAGGCGGCCUUCUGGACAGUGACUGACGCUGAGACGCGAAAGCGUGGGGAGCAAACAGG